GUUCACAUCCGAGGAUUCCACACUGCAACCCAGAAACCAAAAGAGGUCCAUUGCAAUUGGCUGUGAAGGGCCCUGGGCAAGCUUCCAUGAUGCACUGCCCUUGGGAACGGAGCUCUGCACACCAAGCGGACAGGCGUCCAGUGGCAGCUCCCCCGGGGGGCUGUUUCCAGCGCGCCAUGGAGGCCCCAGUCUGCUGAAAGACAGAGAAAAGACCCUGCUUGAGUAUUCUGGGCUCCGUGCUGGUCCUGGGCAGAGCUGUGAGAAGGCCGGCCUGGCCCCAUCUGGACAAAGGACAUUGCCUGUCUUCCCACCCUCCGCCCUCCGCACCCUCCCUCAUGUUGCUGCCAAACGAAAUGCUGCCUCAUCUGAAGGAGUCUCCAGGAUACUCUGGGAACACAUUUUCCCUAAAACACCGAAAACAGGCUUUUCUUUUCCCUCCCUGAUUUUACAAGCAAAAAGUUACCUUAGAAAAUGUGGAAAUUACAGAGAAACAUGAGAGAAAAUAAAAUACCAGUUUAACACACAGGUCAUGAAAAUUUUGGUGUAUCUUAUUCUAGGUUUUUUCCUAUCUACCUGUAAUGUUUAUAAAACAGCUGAGGCCAUAUUUUGUAACUUUGCAUUUCUAAAUUUCUAAUUGUGUGUACUUUGAAAACCUUUGCUUUUCCUGUCU